UUAGUGGGAAUCUUGUGGCAUGGUUGAAAUCUUUGAUUGCUUGAAUGGGGAAACUUAAACAAGAAGGUUGCAAUUUGAUUGAGGGAUUUAAUGUAUGGACUGACGUCUACUUACUACCAACCUCCAACACAGCCUUCGCUGCAUCAGAAAGCAGAACCUCAAUCUUUCCAUGGCUCACACCUCCAAGUCUUCCAAUUCCUCCACCACCAAGCCCACCACCAGCAAAAUAGACCAUGGGCAAAAACACAAGGAAGUUGUAACUCAUCACACCUACUACAAGUCUUCCAACUCCUCCACCACUAAGCCGACCACCAAGCCCACCACCAACAAAAUAGACCAUGGUCAAAAACACAAGGAAGUUGUAACUCAUCACACCUACAAGUCUUCCAACUCCUCCACCACUAAGCCGACCACCAAGCCCACCACCAACAAAAUAGACCAUGGGCAAAAACACAAGGAAGUUGUAACUCAUCACACCUACAAGUCUUCCAACUCCUCCACCACUAAGCCGACCACCAAGCCCACCACCAACAAAAUAGACCAUGGUAAAAAACACAAGGAAGUUGUAACUCACCACCACCAUCAUCAUCAACAAAAUCUUGAACUAGCCGUGGCCACCAGCACCUCCACCACCACCGAGGUCACCAUCGACGGAAAAGGAGUGAAAGUCAAAGUGACAAAGAAAGAAACAUUUUCCAAAGUUGUGAAAUUUGCUUGUACCAAGUAAUUCCUUGCAAGUUCCCAGUCUAUAAAGAAGUUUGCUGCUGCAGAUGUGAAGAUAUCCAUACUGGGUUCAUCAGAACUUGAAUAUGUCAGAAGAAUUAUGCCUAAUUUUUUUCUUUUUUUUGGUUGCAUUACUUGGUUGACAAGGUAAUAUCUUUUUUAUAAUAGUGGUUCCAAUCGAUGUUUUUCCUUUUUAGUCUUGUCUUGUGUUGGUUGAAUAUCGGUCCAUUGUCGUUUAUAUUAUGGCUGAAUCAAUUUGAUCUGUCGGUUAAACCUCA